rnacentral:lncRNA from 1 species
GACUUGAAGACGUAAGCUGAGCCUCUUUCUUGAUUUGCUUGACAGACUAUCGGGAAUCGGGAAAAGGCAAAGGGCACAGUCUUUAGGAGCUUAUUCAUACAAGACUUGCUGUCGUUAGGGCUGUCUUUCCUAACAUGGAGACUGUCCGCUUUCAAACUGAGACUAUACUUGGAUAUGCAAACAAGAGAAUGGGCCAUACGGGUGCUUUAGAUUACCAUAACGAAGAUCUAAACUAUGCCAUCGAAAGAGAGCUUUCGUAGGUUACGUCAUUCUAAAAAUCAAGCGGGAAUGUAGACUAGUGAUCCGUAGUUCCAUAACCACAUAGUGGCAAAAGUGGAGUUUUCAAGUCAAGCGAGAAAGCAAGUGGAUCAGAAAAUUAUCUCGUGCUGGUAGCGAGAAGGAAGUAGGCAGAUUGAGAGAUUCUUUCUUUCCAGGCUCCGAGGCAGAUGAAGAAAACCUAUCUCUUUCCGCUUAGGUGCCGUCAGAGAACUCGCUCUUUGCCUUUCUGCUUCAAAGAAAGAGGUGGGGAGAACCACGUUCCGCCAAAAUGUGCCAGAGCGAGUGAAAGGCCCCACGGUGUUAACUUGCCAUCUCCAACAAAUCUGCUAGCAGCCCAUUCGAGUUCCGCUUGGA